AGAACGGCCGGCUUACCAUGCAAGUCGAGCGGAAGGCCCUUCGGGGUACUCGAGCGGCGAACGGGUGAGUAACACGUGAGCAACCUGCCCUAGGCUUUGGGAUAACCCUCGGAAACGGGGGCUAAUACCGAAUAUGACCUCGCAUCGCAUGGUGUGUGGUGGAAAGUUUUUCGGCCUGGGAUGGGCUCGCGGCCUAUCAGCUUGUUGGUGGGGUGAUGGCCUACCAAGGCGACGACGGGUAGCCGGCCUGAGAGGGCGACCGGCCACACUGGGACUGAGACACGGCCCAGACUCCUACGGGAGGCAGCAGUGGGGAAUAUUGCACAAUGGGCGGAAGCCUGAUGCAGCGACGCCGCGUGAGGGAUGACGGCCUUCGGGUUGUAAACCUCUUUCAGCAGGGACGAAGCGUAAGUGACGGUACCUGCAGAAGAAGCGCCGGCCAACUACGUGCCAGCAGCCGCGGUAAGACGUAGGGCGCGAGCGUUGUCCGGAUUUAUUGGGCGUAAAGAGCUCGUAGGCGGCUUGUCGCGUCGACCGUGAAAACCUGGGGCUCAACCCCAGGCCUGCGGUCGAUACGGGCAGGCUAGAGUUCGGUAGGGGAGACUGGAAUUCCUGGUGUAGCGGUGAAAUGCGCAGAUAUCAGGAGGAACACCGGUGGCGAAGGCGGGUCUCUGGGCCGAUACUGACGCUGAGGAGCGAAAGCGUGGGGAGCGAACAGGAUUAGAUACCCUGGUAGUCCACGCUGUAAACGUUGGGCGCUAGGUGUGGGGGGCCUCUCCGGUUCCCUGUGCCGCAGCUAACGCAUUAAGCGCCCCGCCUGGGGAGUACGGCCGCAAGGCUAAACUCAAAGGGAUUGACGGGGGCCCGCACAAGCGGCGGAGCUUGC
rnacentral:rRNA from 1 species